rnacentral:rRNA from 1 species
UCCUACGGGGGGCAGCAGUGAGGAAUAUUGGUCAAUGGACGGAAGUCUGAACCAGCCAUGCCGCGUGCAGGAUGACGGCUCUAUGAGUUGUAAACUGCUUUUGUAUUAGGGUAAACACCCCUACGUGUAGGGGCUUGAAAGUAUAAUACGAAUAAGGAUCGGCUAACUCCGUGCCAGCAGCCGCGGUAAUACGGAGGAUCCAAGCGUUAUCCGGAUUUAUUGGGUUUAAAGGGUGCGUAGGCGGUUUGAUAAGUUAGAGGUGAAAUACCGGUGCUCAACACCGGAACUGCCUCUAAUACUGUUGA